rnacentral:lncRNA from 1 species
UCAGCUCCUGCUCGAGAACCUCCACCCGAGCUAGGGCUCCUUCCUUUUGAACCUUCACCUUAUCAAGGUGAGCUUGAGCUCCUUCAAAAUCAGCCUUCAGGGCCUCAUAUUGACGCUGGACCUCAUCCUUCUGACUCACAGCCUCGUCCUUCUCACGAAGAGUCUCCAUCAUGGAGGACAGCUGCUUCAAAACUUCUUCACAUCGGACCUCAGCAGCAGCCGCCCUCUCAUCAGACUCCUUGAGAACCCUGCGGGUAUGAGACAACUCUGCUUCCAGGGACUUGGCGUGCUCCUGUGCCUCAGCCGCCUUCCCGUCAGCUCUUUUGAGGGCCUCCAAUGCAGAAU